rnacentral:rRNA from 1 species
CCUACGGGAGGCAGCAGUGGGGAAUUUUGGACAAUGGGCGCAAGCCUGAUCCAGCAAUGCCGCGUGCAGGAUGAAGGCCUUCGGGUUGUAAACUGCUUUUGUACGGAACGAAACGGUCUGCCCUAAUACGGUGGGCUAAUGACGGUACCGUAAGAAUAAGCACCGGCUAACUACGUGCCAGCAGCCGCGGUAAUACGUAGGGUGCGAGCGUUAAUCGGAAUUACUGGGCGUAAAGCGUGCGCAGGCGGUUAUGUAAGACAGAUGUGAAAUCCCCGGGCUCAACCUGGGACCUGCAUUUGUGACUGCAUAGCUAGAGUACGGUAGAGGGGGAUGGAAUUCCGCGUGUAGCAGUGAAAUGCGUAGAUAUGCGGAGGAACACCGAUGGCGAAGGCAAUCCCCUGGACCUGUACUGACGCUCAUGCACGAAAGCGUGGGGAGCAAACAGGAUUAGAUACCCUGGUAGUCCACGCCCUAAACGAUGUCAACUGGUUGUUGGGUCUUCACUGACUCAGUAACGAAGCUAACGCGUGAAGUUGACCGCCUGGGGAGUCGGCCGCAAGGUUGAAACGUCAAAUGAAUUGAGGCUGAGACGNGCGAGGACGACGACGAGGGAGGAGG